CGUGGGUAACCUGCCCAAGAGACUGGGAUAACACCUGGAAACAGAUGCUAAUACCGGAUAACAACACUAGACGCAUGACUAGAGUUUAAAAGAUGGUUCUGCUAUCACUCUUGGAUGGACCUGCGGUGCAUUAGCUAGUUGGUAAGGUAACGGCUUACCAAGGCAAUGAUGCAUAGCCGAGUUGAGAGACUGAUCGGCCACAUUGGGACUGAGACACGGCCCAAACUCCUACGGGAGGCAGCAG
rnacentral:rRNA from 1 species